rnacentral:rRNA from 1 species
CUACCCUUGACAUGUCCGGAAGCCUGCUGAAAGGCGGGUGUGCUCGAAAGAGAACUGGAACACAGGUGCUGCAUGGCUGUCGUCAGCUCGUGUCGUGAGAUGUUGGGUUAAGUCCCGCAACGAGCGCAACCCUUGUCCUUAGUUGCUACGCAAGGGCACUCUAAGGAGACUGCCGGUGACAAACCGGAGGAAGGUGGGGAUGACGUCAAGUCCUCAUGGCCCUUAUGGGUAGGGCUUCACACGUCAUACAAUGGACGGUACAGAGGGUCGCCAACCCGCGAGGGGGAGCCAAUCCCGAUAAAGCCGUUCGUAGUCCGGAUUGCAGUCUGCAACUCGACUGCAUGAAGUCGGAAUCGCUAGUAAUCGCGGAUCAGCAUGCCGCGGUGAAUACGUUCCC